rnacentral:rRNA from 1 species
UACGAAGGGGGCUAGCGUUGCUCGGAAUCACUGGGCGUAAAGCGCACGUAGGCGGACUCUUAAGUCAGGGGUGAAAUCCUGGAGCUCAACUCCAGAACUGCCUUUGAUACUGGGAGUCUCGAGUUCGGGAGAGGUGAGUGGAGCUGCGAGUGUAGAGGUGAAAUUCGUAGAUAUUCGCAAGAACACCAGUGGCGAAGGCGGCUCACUGGCCCGAUACUGACGCUGAGGUGCGAAAGCGUGGGGAGCAAACAGG